UAUUUAAAUAUAUUUAAUUAAUUUAGUUAUUUUUAAUUUAUAUUUUUUUAUAAAAGUAUUUUAUAUAUUUUAAGUUUUAGUAUUAAGUAAAAAAUAAUUUUUAGUUUUAUAGUUUAAUAGUAUUGUGAAAGAAAUUAUUUAUAUUAAUUAAAGAAUCUUAUUAGUACCUUUUGUAUCAGGGUUAAUUAAAAUUUUUAAUUUAUUUUAAUUUCUCGAAAUUUAUAGAGUUAAUUUUAUUAUUAAGUUAUUGUAAUAUAAAUAUUUAUAAAAUAAUUUUAGUUUUGAAAUUUAAUUCGUUAUAAUAUAUCUAGUUAUUUAAGAUUUAAAUUUAAUUUAAAAUUUUAAAAGUUAAUUUAAUUUUUUUUAUUAAUAUUUUAGAUUUAUAUUAUUUUAGGGAUAAGCUUGAAAUUUUUAUAUAAUAAUUAUUUAAAUUAAUAAUUUAUAGGAAUAGAAAUUUUUAUUUUAAGUUUGUAAAAAUUUAUUAUUUAUUUAAUUUUAAUUUAUUAUAAUUUAUUUAUUAUUUUUAUUAAAUUUUAUGAAUUAAUUUAUUAUUUGUAGUAAUAAUGAUUAAAUUAGUAUAAUAUUAAUUUAUAUAAUAUGAAUUCGGCAAAUUUUAUUUUUAUCUGUUUAUCAAAAACAUUGUAUUAAGUUUUAUUUAAUAUAGGAUCUGCUCAAUGAUUUAUUAAAUAGCUGCAGUAUUUUGACUGUGCAAAGGUAGCAUAAUAAUUAGUCUUUUAAUUGGGGACUUGUAUGAAAGAUUUGAUAAGAAAUAAUCUUUAUUAUAUAUAUAAUUAGAAUUUUAUUUUUAAGUAAAAAAGCUUAAAUAUUUUAAAGGGACGAUAAGACCCUAUAAAACUUUAUAUUUAAUAAUUUUUAAUUUUUUGGAUUUAUAAUUUAUAUAUAUAUAUAUAAAUUUUAUUAAUUAUUUUAUUGGGGUGAUAAAAAAAAAUUAUAAACUUUUUUUAAAAUUUAACAUUAUUUAAUGAUAAUUUGAAUUAAAAUUUUUAAUUAAAGGAAAAAGUUACUUUAGGGAUAACAGCGUAAUUAAUUUUUUAAGUUCAAAUUUAAAAAUUAGU
rnacentral:rRNA from 1 species